rnacentral:tRNA from 1 species
GCCCUGAUGGCUCAGUCGGUUGAGUGUCUGACUUUGGCUCAGGUCAUGAUCUCUUGGUUCGUGGGUUCAAGCCCUACAUGGGGCU